UUCUUCUUCUUCUUCUUUUUCUUCUGUUCUUCAUCUCUUUCUCCCGUCGAAUUCAAUUCCAAAGUUCUAGAUGAAUCGAGCUUUUUUUUGUGAGUGAUUCAUGUAAAUAUUGAGAUCUAGAUAAAUCUAAGAAGAGGGUGAUGAAUCUGGAAGCUAAUUUAGAAGAAAUAGAAAUUAGGGUUUCCUCCUGCCAUACAUUUCUUCUUCUUCUGUAACAAACUCCUACCAUACUUUUCUUCUCCGACAAACCAUGGUUUUUCCUCAUGAAUCAAUUGAGUUGUUGCCGUCAAUUUGAAAAAUGAGUCUCGAGAUUUCACAAAAAAAAAAAAAGGGUAAAAUCUCCAUCUCUUUCCCUACGAAUCUCUUUAGGGUUUUCAGAUAAGAACUGAUUUGAUGUUUGAAACGAUUUAUGUAAGCUUUCUCUGGGAGAGAAUAUCAGUUUCUGUUUAUUUUUUUUAGGGUUUUGUGAGAUUCUAUUUGGAUUGAUUCUCUGUGGGAUUUGUUCUCAACAACAGAAGGUGGACGAUAAACCCUCAUCUUUUGCGAACCUAAUUUUCUCCAGCGAUCUCCACUACCUCCUUUCUUCUCCUAAUCAGGUGUGAAUUUUAUCAGGUGGAUGAGUUACGACUAGAUUGGUUAUCUACCGAAGGCAAAAUUGUGCAUCGCGAAGCCAACCAACACAAGGAAUAUCUGUUGCUACAUACAUGAAGUUGUGGAGCUGCUGCGACGUGCAAAUCAAUCUAUGAAUAUUAAUGUUGUUCUGGCAUACCCGUUGUUGAUGUUGCGCGAAUGGAGCUGAUGCAAUCUACUGAAGUGACGUGCCCGUUGCUUCUGCAUACAUGUUGUUGUUGCUACGUGCUGCUCCCACUGCUUUGUACCUGCGCACCUGCUGAUGUAGCUGCUCCGUGCGUGCUGUUGUUGCUGCUGGGCGCAUAAAGCUGCAUGUGUAUCUGAUGUGCUGCGAAAAAGGUGCUACUACCCCAGUACCUGCCUGUCGUGCAACUGCCAGUUUUCCUUCGAACAAGGUGCUCUUGCUGCGAAACUGUUGUUGGUGCGAACAAGCUUAUGUACCUGCUGCCGAGCAAGCAAGGCAUUGUUGUUGCAGCUGCUGUUCCGCGUACUGCUGAUGCUACCUUUUGAUGUGGUGUUCCUGAUGGAAAUUAGGGAUCCAUUUAUUAUUCUUCUUGACCACCCAAAAUAUUUCACCCUUUCUCUCUGCCCUUUUGAUUUAUUUGUUUUCUUCAUUAUAUGAUUACGUUAACAAUAUGGUUCUGUGCACAAAAGCCUCAGUUUCUUAACAAUACAAUUCGAAUUGCGAGAAUCUUAUUGUAUUGAAUUAUCUAUUCAUUUCUUAGUGGACGGCUUCUCAUCUGGUGAAGGGGAACCCUUUGA